GGGCCCGCACAAGCGGUGGAGCAUGUGGUUUAAUUCGAAGCAACGCGAAGAACCUUACCAAGGCUUGACAUGGAAACGACCGCCGCAGAGAUGCGGCUUCCCUUCGGGGCGUUUCACACAGGUGGUGCAUGGUUGUCGUCAGCUCGUGUCGUGAGAUGUUGGGUUAAGUCCCGCAACGAGCGCAACCCUUAUAUUCAGUAGCCAGCGGGCAAGCCGGGCACUCUGGAUAGACUGCCGCGGAUAACACGGAGGAAGGUGGGGAUGACGUCAAAUCAUCAUGCCCUUUAUGCCUUGGGCAACACACGUGCUACAAUGGCCGACACAAAGCGAAGCGAACCCGCGAGGGGAGCAAAGCGCAAAAAGCGGCUCAGUUCGGAUUGCAGGCUGCAACUCGCCUGCAUGAAGCCGGAAUCGCUAGUAAUCGCGAAUCAGAAUGUCG
rnacentral:rRNA from 1 species